GACGAACGCUGGCGGCGUGCUUAACACAUGCCAGUCGAACGGAAAGGCCCUGCUUUUGUGGGGUGCUCGAGUGGCGAAGGGGUGAGUAACACGUGAGUAACCUGCCCUUGACUUUGGGAUAACUUCAGGAAACUGGGGCUAAUACCGGAUAGGAGCUCCUGCUGCAUGGUGGGGGUUGGAAAGUUUAGGCGGUUGGGGAUGGACUGGCGGCUUAUCAGCUUGUUGGUGGGGUAGUGGCUUACCAAGGCAUUGACGGGUAGCCGGCCUGGGAGGGUGGCCGGCCACAUUGGGCCUGAGGUACGGCCCAGACUCCUACGGGAGGCAGCAGUGGGGAAUAUUGCACAAUGGGCGGAAGCCUGAUGCAGCAACGCCGCGUGCGGGAUGACGGCCUGCGGGUUGUAAACCGCUUUCGCCUGUGACGAAGCGUGAGUGACGGUAAUGGGUAAAGAAGCACCGGCUAACUACGUG
rnacentral:rRNA from 1 species